rnacentral:lncRNA from 1 species
UUUAAACCUAUACACACAUGUUGAGUGAACAUGUAAAAUCAUUUUAUUCAAAUUACUACGUACACAUAUGUCGAAUCAUUCUAGACUUUAAUAAAUUCCCCUAGAUUAUAAGUCAGGAUGAUAAAUAGUAUGUAACGUCUUUUAUUUUUGUAUUACUUAUAUCUUGUAUUUUAAGCCUAUAGUUACUUUACUUUCAUGUUUGAUGAAGUUGUAACAUUUUUCUGGAAUAAAAUAUUUGCAUUAUUUUUAUUUUGAAGUACUGAN